rnacentral:rRNA from 1 species
GAUGAACGCUGGCGGCGUGCUUAACACAUGCAAGUCGAACGGAAAGGCUCCUGCUUGCAGGGGUACUCGAGUGGCGAACGGGUGAGUAACACGUGGGUGAUCUGCCCUGCACUUCGGGAUAAGCCUGGGAAACUGGGUCUAAUACCGGAUAGGACGAUGGUUUGGAUGCCAUUGUGGAAAGUUUUUCGGUGUGGGAUGAGCUCGCGGCCUAUCAGCUUGUUGGUGGGGUAAUGGCCUACCAAGGCGUCGACGGGUAGCCGGCCUGAGAGGGUGUACGGCCACAUUGGGACUGAGAUACGGCCCAGACUCCUACGGGAGGCAGCAGUGGGGAAUAUUGCACAAUGGGCGCAAGCCUGAUGCAGCGACGCCGCGUGGGGGAUGACGGCCUUCGGGUUGUAAACUCCUUUCGCUAGGGACGAAGCGCAAGUGACGGUACCUGGAGAAGAAGCACUGGCUAACUACGU